rnacentral:rRNA from 1 species
AGAGUUUGAUCAUGGCUCAGAACAAACGCUGGCGGCGUGUCUUAAGCAUGCAAGUCGAGCGGCAAGGCGGGGCGACCCGCCCUAGAGCGGCGGACUGGUGAGUAACGCGUGGGUAAUCUACCUUGGGCAUGGGGAUAGCCAUUAGAAAUAGUGGGUAAUACCGAAUACGCUCGCGGGGGGAAGGGUCCUGUGAGGAAAGGGUGCUACGGCACCGGCCUGAGAUGAGCUCGCGUCCCAUUAGCUAGUUGGUGAGGUAAGGGCCCACCAAGGCGAUGAUGGGUAGCCGGCCUGAGAGGGUGUACGGCCACACUGGGACUGAGAUACGGCCCAGACUCCUACGGGAGGCAGCAGCUAAGAAUAUUCCGCAAUGGACGAAAGUCUGACGGAGCGACGCCGCGUGGAUGAGGAAGGCCGAAAGGUUGUAAAGUUCUUUUGCGAGGGAAGAAUAACCGCAGGAGGGAAUGCCUGUGGGAUGACAUGAACUUGCGAAUAAGCCCCGGCCAACUACGUGCCAGCAGCCGCGGUAACACGUAGGGGGCGAGCGUUGUUCGGAAUUACUGGGCGUAAAGGGCAUGUAGGCGGUCUGGUAAGCCUGGCGUGAAAGACCACAGCUUAACUGUGGGGUUGCGUUGGGAACUGCUGGGCUUGAGUGACGGAGAGGGAGCUGGAAUUCCUGGUGUAGGGGUGAAAUCUGUAGAUAUCAGGAAGAACACCGAUGGCGAAGGCAAGCUCCUGGCCGAUGACUGACGCUGAGGUGCGAAAGUGUGGGGAUCAAACAGGAUUAGAUACCCUGGUAGUCCACACGGUAAACGAUGUGCACUAGGUGCUGGGGCGGUAGCCUCGGUGCCGGAGCGAACGUGGUAAGUGCACCGCCUGGGGAGUAUGCUCGCAAGGGUGAAACUCAAAGGAAUUGACGG